GGGCCGUACACAUGCAGUCGAGCGGAAACGAUGGAGCUUGCUCCAGGCGUCGAGCGGCGGACGGGUGAGUAAUGCAUAGGAAUCUGCCCGGUAGUGGGGGAUAACCUGGGGAAACUCAGGCUAAUACCGCAUACGCCCCACGGGGGAAAGCAGGGGAUCUUCGGACCUUGCGCUAUCGGAUGAGCCUAUGUCGGAUUAGCUAGUUGGUGAGGUAAUGGCUCACCAAGGCGACGAUCCGUAGCUGGUCUGAGAGGAUGAUCAGCCACAUCGGGACUGAGACACGGCCCGAACUCCUACGGGAGGCAGCAGUGGGGAAUAUUGGACAAUGGGCGAAAGCCUGAUCCAGCCAUGCCGCGUGUGUGAAGAAGGCUUUCGGGUUGUAAAGCACUUUCAGUGAGGAAGAACGCCUUGGGGCUAAUACCCCCGAGGGAAGACAUCACUCACAGAAGAAGCACCGGCUAACUCCGUGCCAGCAGCCGCGGUAAUACGGAGGGUGCAAGCGUUAAUCGGAAUUACUGGGCGUAAAGCGCGCGUAGGCGGCGUGAUAAGCCGGUUGUGAAAGCCCCGGGCUCAACCUGGGAACGGCAUCCGGAACUGUCAGGCUAGAG
rnacentral:rRNA from 1 species